GAAACGACUGCUAAGACUGGAUAGGAGACAAGAGGGCAUCUUCUUGUUUUUAAAGACCUAGCAAUAGGUAUGCUUAGGGAGGAGCUUGCGUCACAUUAGUUAGUUGGUGGGGUAAAGGCCUACCAAGACUAUGAUGUGUAGCCGGGCUGAGAGGUUGAACGGCCACAUUGGGACUGAGACACGGCCCAAACUCCUACGGGAGGCAGCAGUAGGGAAUUUUCGGCAAUGGAGGAAACUCUGACCGAGCAACGCCGCGUGAACGAUGAAGUAUUUCGGUACGUAAAGUUCUUUUAUUAGGGAAGAAUAAAUGAUGGAAAAAUCAUUCUGACGGUACCUAAUGAAUAAGCCCCGGCUAACUAUGUGCCAGCAGCCGCGGUAAUACAUAGGGGGCAAGCGUUAUCCGGAAUUAUUGGGCGUAAAGGGUGCGUAGGCGGUUAAAUAAGUUUAUGGUCUAAGUGCAAUGCUCAACAUUGUGAUGCUAUAAAAACUGUUUAGCUAGAGUAAGAUAGAGGCAAGUGGAAUUCCAUGUGUAGUGGUAAAAUGCGUAAAUAUAUGGAGGAACACCAGUAGCGAAGGCGGCUUGCUGGGUCUUUACUGACGCUGAGGCACGAAAGCGUGGGGAGCAAACAGGAUUAGAUACCCUGGUAGUCCACGCCGUAAACGAUGAGUACUAAACGUUGGGUAAAACCAGUGUUGAAGUUAACACAUUAAGUACUCCGCCUGAGUAGUACGUACGCAAGUAUGAAACUUAAAGGAAUUGACGGGACUCCGCACAAGCGGUGGAUCAUGUUGUUUAAUUCGAAGGUACCCGAAAAACCUCACCAGGUCUUGACAUGCUUCUGCAAAGCUGUAGAAACACAGUGGAGGUUAUCAGUUGCACAGGUGGUGCAUGGUUGUCGUCAGCUCGUGUCGUGAGAUGUUGGGUUAAGUCCCGCAACGAGCGCAACCCUUAUUGUUAGUUACCAGCACGUAAUGGUGGGGACUUUAGCAAGACUGCCAGUGAUAAAUUGGAGGAAGGUGGGGACGACGUCAAAUCAUCAUGCCCCUUAUGACCUGGGCUACAAACGUGAUACAAUGGCUGUUACAAAGGGUAGCUGAAGCGCAAGUUUUUGGCGAAUCUCAAAAAAACAGUCUCAGUUCGGAUUGAAGUCUGCAACUCGACUUCAUGAAGUUGGAAUCGCUAGUAAUCGCGAAUCAGCAUGUCGCGGUGAAUACGUUCUCGGGGUUUGUACACACCGCCCGUCA
rnacentral:rRNA from 1 species